rnacentral:lncRNA from 1 species
UCCGAUAAAAAUAUGAUGGCGAUCGAACAUUUGAAAUUUGCCCGCCAUACAUCUUAUUUGCUUUUCAAAUAGAGAUUUUCAUCUAUCAAUGAAUGUAAAAUCUUGGCAGCCAUUUUUACUCCACUCUCUUCAUUCAAACUAUCCACAACUCUCAAAUAUCUAUAUUAAUUCUAUUACCUCUUCACCAUUGUGUAAGAUUUGAAGCCCAUCUUUAAAAUGCUUCUGUUGGUGAUAAUUCAUCAAUUGUUGAAACCUAUUUUCUUGACCAUUCAAUUUGAAUGAACCAGGUUUUCGUUUUCUUCCGACCCUUUAUAAUAUUACCAAACAAAAGUGCAUAAAGCAUAUUUCACCAAUCCCAUAUUCAUGUAAUAUAGGGUUAAUCAUUUUAAGCAAUCGAAGAAAAAUGUUUAAUUACAAGCCAAACCCAAUUAUUUGAACAUCACUCAAAGGCUUAAAAACCUUAAAACUAGAUAUAGUUUUCUAUCUUUUCAAUAGCAAAUAAUUCCUUCUAGCAUUCAUAGAUUUGUCCAAAUGUGUCUUUUCUUCAAAUUUCUAAGUAUAACAAGAAAGUCCAAUACACAAAUUAAUUCAUUUCGUCUCAGAAAAUGAUAUUCCAAUGAGGUUCCACAGAACAAAAUCAAACAAUAUCAAACAAAAGAGAAACCAACAAGAACACGUAAUAUUCAAUAAAUCAAGAAACUCAUACCAAUGCAAAAGGGAAAAAAAAGCCUAACUAAUGAGCCAAAAGUUUGCCCUUAAAUUGCUCACACGUGUAGAAGUUGAAAUCGGCCAAAAUCAUUUUUGUAUCUGCAAAAAUCGGAUGAACAAUUCAUUAUCCGAAAGACAAAAUUACAAAAAGAAAGAAGGAUCUUGUAUUGGAUUUUGCUACAAGUAUAAAUUGGGUUGAAGUGAAUUUCUAACGUCCUCUCUUCCAGGCUAGGGCUUAUUUUUAGCAACUGGGUGAAUUUUGGACGGGUCUUUUUUGUAAGUUUUGGGCUGAUUUUUUUUAAAAGGUCCCUAUAAAUGAUGAG